UUUAUAACGGUUAGGCGAACAACUGGGCCUGGUACUAGUUGUCUGCGCAUGCGUCAGUCGUUCGUCAGAUUCUGACGAAUGGAUAUUCUCGUUCACUUUCGUGACAUUUAUAUUCGUGUACUAUCGUGUACUAGAAGUCAGUUCCCGUUUUAUCAUUAUUGGAAUCGAUUGGAAUGGCUCUUAGCUGAAGCUUCUCUCUUCUCUGAAGCUUAUUCUGAAGACUGAACAACAAGGGAAGAGGUAUAAAGCUUUGUCAAGCUUGUUAAGGAGCAAUGGCUAAUAUCCAGCUAUCCCAACAGUGCUCCUCUUGGCUAUACUAACGGACGAGACUGGACAGUUUGAGACACAGGACUGGAGUAUGACCUGCUCAUUCGAGCGUUGCUGGGUAGCUCAGAGACAUCAAGAGAAUCUACGUUUUCUCAAGCAAUGAGUUACGAGUUGGGGCCUAGAAUCAGAGAAGUCCAGCAGCCUGCUAAAUCUUUUUGAAACGUAAUUUGAAGGCAUUCAAUCAUCCUGAAGUUGCCCUGGGUCACUGUAAUUGUGCUGCAGCACAACUGGCAACUCCCCAGGCCUUUGUGAAGCAGCUCCCUAUGUGCAUCUUUUGUGUACUCACUCUGUGCAUUUUCUGUGUACAAAUUUCUAUUAUUGAUUUAUUAAAUAUUUUUGCCGACCACAAA